rnacentral:tRNA from 1 species
GUUGUCGUGGCCGAGUGAUUAAGGCGAUGGACUAGAAAUCUUUUGGGAUUUUCCCGCGCAGGUUCGAAUCCUGCCGACAUCG